rnacentral:misc_RNA from 1 species
UCCCCGUUAUCCGGGGCGGUUUCGCUAGAGUGCCCGGCUUGACCCGCUGGCAACUAACGAUAAGGGUUGCGCUCGUUUCCGGUUCUUAAAACCAGCAUGUCAAGCCCAGGUAAGGUUCUUCGCGUCGCAUCGAAUUAAGCAACAUGCUCCGCCGCUUGUGCGGGGCCCCGUCAAUUCCUUUGAGUUUUAGCCUUGCGGCCGUACUCCCCAGGCGGGGUGCUUAAUGCGUUAGCUUCGGCACGGAGGGAGUUGACACCCCCCACACCUAGCACCCAUCGUUUACGGCGUGGACUAC